UAGAUUGAAGCCAGUUGUUUAGGGUGUUUAGCUGUUAACUAA
rnacentral:tRNA from 1 species